rnacentral:rRNA from 1 species
GACGAACGCUGGCGGCGUGCUUAACACAUGCAAGUCGAACGGAAAGGCCCUGCUUUUGUGGGGUGCUCGAGUGGCGAACGGGUGAGUAACACGUGAGUAACCUGCCCUUGACUUUGGGAUAACUUCAGGAAACUGGGGCUAAUACCGGAUAGGAGCUCCUGCUGCAUGGUGGGGGUUGGAAAGUUUCGGCGGUUGGGGAUGGACUCGCGGCUUAUCAGCUUGUUGGUGGGGUAGUGGCUUACCAAGGCUUUGACGGGUAGCCGGCCUGAGAGGGUGACCGGCAACAUUGGGACUGAGAUACGGCCCAGACUCAUACGGGAGGCAGCAGUGGGGAAUAUUGCACAAUGGGCGGAAGCCUGAGGCAGCAACGCCGCGUGCGGGAUGACGGCCUUCGGGUUGUAAACCGCUUUCGCCUGUGACGAAGCGUAAGUGACGGUAAUGGGUAAAGAAGCACCGGCUAACUACGU